UGCACAUUGGCUUAUUUUCUUAUGUUAGUAUGCCACUUCAUUUAAUCAUUGUGGACUAAUGAUCUGCAAAAUCAUUUCCAAAUGAAGCCAUUUUCCAGCUGCUGAGAUGUUAAAGUAACUAAAAUUAUGGCAAAGCCUUUCCCCAACUUAAACAUGCCUGAAUGGACUGUGCUUUGGAAUGCCCAUGCCAAAUCUUAUAGAUGUGUUCCUAAGAUUCUUGCAUAUGUGGUUUUUAAUGGACAAAAAAUGGUUCUCUUAGAUUCAGACUGAACAUAGCUCUAAACAAGCCAUUUAAAUCUUGCAGUGUUAAAGAAUUACAUGACCUCAUUCCAGGAGAAUAUAAUCAAGGGAAUUCAAGGAAUACAACCUACAUUCAAGUAAACUCCUAUUCUUUCUUUUAGAGCCUAUGUCACUUAGCACUAGGACUGGUCAUUUCUGUUGCAGAAUGGUGGGAGCUGUGGUGUGGGACAGGGUCAAUUUAUUUUUUCAUAUAGAAAGGGAUAACAGCUCAGUGGUAGAGCAAGUGCUUUUACUUCAGAAGGUUCUAGUUUCAAUCCACAGCAUCUCUAGUUACAAGUUUAAGUUAGCAAGUGAUGGGAAAGACCUUUGCCUAACACCCUGGAAAACUGCUGCCAGUAUUAGUAGAUAAUACUUGGCUAGAUGGAUAGUUUCAUCUGCUGCAGAGGCGCCAUAUUCUGAAUGUGAUGUUGCGUCAUCCUGAUGUUGCAUGAUCUCCUGACAUUGUGUGUGUGUCGUUGCAUGAUGUCCUGACAUUGCUCAGCGUCCAGCUCUGCAUACAGCCUCAACAAUGGGAGGGGGAAGCCCCCUCAAAAAUAUUUUGAGGGGGCCCAAAGAGCCUCAGCCCCCUGGAGCUGGUAACUACGAUCUUGUGUAACGCAGCUUUCUGGGAGUGGUGGGCAGAAGGUAGUUCUAGAUCAACCGGUAGAACUGCAGUAAAUCACCAAGGAUUUCUAACUGCUCAACUACUUAACAAUUGCAGUAACAAAACAAUUCCCACUCCACAUUAAAUUAUUCCACUUAAAUUAAGUUACUCAUGUCCUCUAAUUUCAGUGGGUCUACUCUAACAUGGGCUACGACUCCAUCAGUGGGCUCUGCCGAGAGCCCUAGUUACACUCCAUGUUUUGCUAGGAUUUAUAACAUAGCACAAUACAGUCUUUUCUAACCAAAGAAAGUCACUAAGAUUUCAACAUACAGUUCCUUACAGAUUGUUUUUAACAUGGAUGUAGGAAUGUGUGUGUAUGUUUAAAGGCACUUGCAAUGACUCUUUACAGGUUUGUCUUGAAACACAAUUUUUUAAAAAAGAUUCUCCAUAUCCUAGGAGUAAAUAGAUAUAUUAAAAUAAGCUAUGGGAUGUAUAGUGCAGUAUAACAAUGAUAAAUGAUGUUGUGUGUAAUUUUUCUACUAUUAACAUAAAGUAAUAUAAACUGAAGGACACUAGUCUAUUGAGAGAGUUAGUAGCUAAUGUUCCAUAUCAGAUGUGGACAAUGUCAGGACUGAAUACAGAUUAGGCAGUGUCCUUUUCUCCCCCGGGGAAUUAAACUUUGAGACACCACUGGCUGCCAAUGGUUUUACUGCAUUUUGUUGGUGCCUCUGGUGCCUUUCUUGGUCUAUUAAUUCAGGAGCUGUAAAUGACAAUGUGAGUAAAAAGCUUUUCCAGUGGGAUGCAUUUCAUUUAUGUAUUCCUGUAUCCACAGUACCUGUUCAAUCCAUUUUGUCACAAUAACUGUAUAAAAAUUGUGUGGAUUAACUACAGUUCUUCUUGGAGCUCAGCAAUUUUUCUUUCUUUCAUUGUCUUUAUUAGAAAGCAACAGCACAAUCAUUUACCAGAAUGGAGGAUCUUUUUAUAUCUUAAAAGAAAUAUUUAGUGACAACAAAGUAAAAACUUAAAAGCACAGAACAUUGCACACUGUCAAAUCAAUCAAUCUUCUAUCAUAAAAUGAACAAUAGAACAUUGAUAACCAGGAGUUAUCCAUUGCUCUUUUGUAGUUCUCUUAUACUUUUAAAAUCCAAUGUAUUUUGCAAUCCUUGUUUUGUUCCCUCCACGAAUCUAUUAAAGUGAGACAAAAAACAAUGAUCAUCUAGUGAAUGAAGCUAAGAAAUCAUAAUUUCUUAAAGGGCACUCAGUGGUUUUGGUUGAAAGGGGUUUGAAUCUACAACCUGGUUCAGAGCAUCAUCUAAACCAGGGUUGGAGGAUAUGUUGGACUUCAGCUCCCAUAAUUCCUGACCAUUAACCUCAGCUCCGAGGGCUAAUUGGGGUUAGUGUGCAAAGAAAUCUAAGUCACAGCUUCAUGUGCUCCCCAUCCCCACUUCACUUUCUGAAGAAGCAAGAAGCUUCUGCUUUUGACUAAACCUCAGUUGCCUGUUAUAGAUGAAGUUGGGGAACUAUGGUUUAAACUUAUUAUUGAAGCUUAAAACAAACAAGGAUCAAAAUGUGGUUUGAUCUUGGCUUUAGCUAACAAGAGUUAGUUUAAGGCAUCAUUUCCCAAGUUCAUUCUUAACAAGAAACUAUGUUGUUGUUUCAAAAGUUGAAGCUAUGGUCUCUGUUUCAUCCACAGGAGGGAGGGGAAGGGUGUGUGCAAGCCUGAGGCUUGUUACAGCUCAUCUCAACCAUCUGGUUUAAAUUAUUGGCUGAACCAGGCUGCUAUUUCAUCUGUGAAAAAGAGAGAAGACUAUAGGUCCUCUCCAUCCAGUUUGUUGGAAGACCAGCCCCAUCAGGCUCCUCCCUCAACUGUCCUCCCACAUCUACAGCAGCCAUUCCAUAAUGCUAUUGGAGAGAGGUGGAAGUGCAGGAUGUCUUAACUGGCUCUGCUGAAAGACCAGCAACUUUAGGAUCCUUCUCUCCUUGAAAUCUUUCAGUUCCAAGACUUCCGGGGUGGCGCCAUCGGCAAUGGCGGACUCCCUCUGAACUGGAGGGACUAGCUCCGCGCGAAACGGGUCUUUUCCGCUACGGCGAAGCGGGGACCCUUUUAAAAAUCACAGGCGGAUGAAGCCUGUGACCAUGGGACUCGGCGGGCACCCUUAGCGCCCCCCCAACCCGCAAAGGAACCCACUAACGGGCUCCGAAGCGAAGAGGGGGAAGCGGCGCAGUGCUGUGAGUCAACUGCUAUUUCCGUGGAGUGAAGCCGCACAGCCGUUGCCGGAGAGCGCUGCCUUUUUCCUGGGACAAUUUGGCUUCUAAAAUAAGCACCCGUGAGUACUUAAACUUUGAACAAUUGGACUUUAAAUAAGGACUUGCGAGCAGAAAGGAAUUGGACUUAAAAAUUUUACUUCAAUUUGGUACUGAAACGGGAAGGUCUAAACAGGAAGUCAGCCUUCCGUUUCUUUGUAGACAGAAUAAAGGAAAGACAACGUAAACUAGAGCUCAGAAAAUCGCCUCUAAAGGAUUGGCUUUCAUCAUUUAAAAUUGUUGAACCCCCCUUUGGCAGCAGGAGAAGAAGGGGGGAUCUUUUUUGGACUGUUUAAACCUGCAGAAGUGAGUUUAAAGUAAAGUAACUUUCCACCGUCCUGAUCCUGGAGCGGGGUGUCAGGACUGACGUUUGAAGCUCAUUGACCAGAGAUAAACGUUUUUGACAGAUAGCUAAAAGAAGAGAAACAUAGUGAUUCCAUUGUUUCCUUUCGCACCUUAAAGGAACAAAUAUUGACAAAAGAUCUGAAAAAAGGAAACUCUGUUGCUAGACUUGUCUUUAAAAGAAAGAUCAAAUAGAAGUUUUCCCCCUAGAGGGAGACUGUGAAACUGUAACCAACUCCUGGGAGCUGGCAGCUGUUACAGAUUACAAUCGUGGGAAUAGACAUCUGACCUUGCAGGACAAUGUAUUCAGAAGCUCUGUUGUGUGCUUUCUAUAAAACAAAUGCCCUAUUGGAACAGCUACAUGAGAAGACGAAUUUGAUGGCUGAUUCGAUUAGAAAUUUUGAACAGGCAGUGGGAAAUUUUGAACAGGCAGUGGGAAAAUAUGUGGAGCCCACCCAGGAAUUAAAUCAGGAGUGUGCCCUGACAGAACAGGCCCAACAGGAAUAUGAGCUUUAGGAUUUGACAAAUGAACUUGGAAAAAGCCAGAUUUGGAAAGAAAAAGUUUGGUUUGGUUUGGAAAUGGGGCGUUGGAUAGACCCUCCUAUGCAGGGAUGUUUGGACUUUUCAAGUCUGGCAAUGGGCCGUGAGAUGUUUGGGAUUGUGGGGGCUCUCAAUUUUGGAGGGUUUUUGAAACAUGUUUUUAAAUACCACAUGGAAUUUAGUGUCGAUUAUGGAAAAGGGGCUGAUCUGUCGAGAAGGGUCAAAAAUAUUGCUAAGCUGGAGUUCCCACGAGUGAAACGAGCAGGAGACAAGGGAAAAUACAGUUACAAAUAUGAAGAAGAGCUGCGGAAGGGACAUGGAAGAGACUUAAGGGCCUCGGAUAUAAGGUCACCAGGUUAAUGCGCCAGAUCGAUGGGAUAAUAAGGACUGACAAACCCAGGACCAGGAGGAAGGGAUGCUGGAUGAAGAUUGGAUUUGUUUUUAUUUCUUUUUUUCAUUACUAGGACUGUUUUAUAAAAUUGAUGAAUGUUAGAAAAAUGUUGGAAUGAAAUUAUUUGGCUUUAGUAAAAAUGUUUAAAGAAUUAUGUAAGAAUAUUAUGGUUAUGAGAAGUUGGUAAAAAUAAGAUUUAAGUUUUAAGUUCCAAGGUUUUUUAUAGUAAGUUAAGAUUAAAAUAGUUUAAGGUAAUGUAAUGACAGAAUAUUAUGAAAUAUGGAAAGGAUUUGCUGUGACAAUUAACAACCAGGACACAAGGAAGGGGUGGAGGAGGAGGUCAAGGAAAGAGGGUAAUGACAGUUGAGGUGUUGAGAAUAAUGGAUUUGUUUUUAAAUGUUUUUAAAUUUUUGUGGUGUAUUUUUGUUUUUUCUCUCUCUUAUUUUGUGUAUUUGUAUGGUUGGAAGUGGCUUGUUUUUCUCUUUUUCUACUUUGUUUUCUUUUGUAACUU